AGAAUUACUGAAGAUUAUUAAAGAACUUCAUCAUUUUUGACCCCCAAAUUAGGGAAAAUGCUACAGAAUUAAAUCCAGUGUCUGGAAUGUGUAUGAGAAGCAAAAGAAGAGGAAUCUCUGACAAGCUGUUAUUCAUUUCCUUGAAGUUAAAAGAACCUGUGGGAGGAAGAGGAGGAAGGAACAUUGACACUGAGAAGGAGACAAGAGGAAGAGGAAGAGGAGGAGGAGGCAAAAGAGGGAACAUUAUUAAUGAAACUGAGGCAGAAGAGAGCUUCAAAAUAAAAGGAAGAGACAGAUGAUUUUGAGGUGGGAGGAAGACAACAUACAGACUCAUGUUGUAAGAUCUUUCUGGAGAAGAGUCCUGCAUGUAAGUAGCCCAAGACUUGGGAUUUCCUUUAAUUUUUUUGCCUCUAUAU
rnacentral:lncRNA from 1 species